CAUCGACAUUUUGAACGCAUAUUGCGCCCACGGCUCUAUUAUUACUAUUGCUGUGGGCACUCCAGAUCGAGGGUCGUAUGAUGACUUAUCAUCCAUCUGAUUGAUUUUAUUAUCUUUCGGCUUUGAGCUGUCGUGUUUACUUCGGUAAAUGCGUCGCUUUAAAUUGACCAAUUCUUUUGUGGCUUCCACCACAAUCGAAUGAGAAAGGCAAGGUACCGACUUCAUUAAGUCAGUAACUAUUAAAGCUAUAUUUUUCUCGAGAUGACUCGCGUGGGGGCGAGCCGAUCAGUUAUUAUUAACAUGAGAAUCGGUAUAUCAAAUGAGAAAUUUUUUGCUUGAGUUGCUGGUGUGAGACCGGAUGCUCCAAAGUACCUCUAAAUUGUCAAGUGCUUGCCCGUGGUUGGUGCAUUGCUAACCCACUCACGACCUCGUUUCGGGAGAGAUUACCCGCCAAAUUUAAGCAUAUCAAUAAGCGGAGGAAAAGAAA
rnacentral:rRNA from 1 species